CAAUAUAUGAAAAUAUAUCCACUUGAUGAUCUGAAUAAAUGAGCGGUGGUGCAUGAUAUAGGUGGAUAUAGGUAUGGAAUAAUAAAUAUCAAUCUAUCUGAAAGCUUCAAUAAAGUGUUGAAGGGGGCUUGCUCAUUGUCCAUUACCGUUCUUGUUCGUCUUUCCUUUGAAUGCUUGUCGAAGUGAUUCAGCGUCAGAUGUACAAUUGUAGCACAAAGAAGAAAGACCGACAGGAUAUUCACAGAUA
rnacentral:lncRNA from 1 species